CAAAAACAUCGCCUCCUGCAAAAAUCAAUGUAUAAGAGGUCCUACCUGCCCAGUGACAUUAAGUUAAACGGCCGCGGUAUUUUGACCGUGCUAAGGUAGCGCAAUCACUUGUCUUUUAAAUGAAGACCUGUAUGAAUGGUGGAACGAGGGCUUAACUGUCUCCCUUUUCAGGUCAGUGAAAUUGAUCUGCCCGUGCAGAAGCGGACAUAGCAAUGCAAGACGAGAAGACCCUUUGGAGCUUAAGACGCAAGGUCAACUAUGUCAAAAAUCCCUAUCAAUGGAGAUAAAACAAAAUAUUAACUGGCCAAAGUCUUCGGUUGGGGCGACCGCGGGGGAAAGCAAAGCCCCCAUGUGGACUAGGGUAAAGCCUAAAACCAAGAGGAACACCUCUAAGUCACAGAACAUCUGACCAAAAGAUCCGGCACCUAAGCCGAUCAACGAACCAAGUUACCCUAGGGAUAACAGCGCAAUCCCCUCCAAGAGUCCAUAUCGACAAGGGGGUUUACGACCUCGAUGUUGGAUCAGGACAUCCUAAUGGUGCAGCCGCUAUUAAGGGUUCGUUUGUUCAACGAUUAAAGUCCUACGUGAUCUGAG
rnacentral:rRNA from 1 species